CGUCUCUUGGGCAUGGAUCCCUCUUUCAAUCUCUCUCUCUCUCUCCCAAACUCUCAUCUUGCUCUUCCUCUCCACAUGGAAACAGAUCCGAGUCUCUCUCAAAUUGCAACAAGGGAAGUUGAGGCAUGGAUCUCCUGCUAUGACGGAGCUCAUCUAGAUCAGGUUUUUGGACAUGCAUGUGUGAACAUUGCUCCACAAUUAAUUACACUGUAAUACAUUAGCAGGUAAGGCGAAUCACUUCUUAAGAUUCCCCAUCAUGAGUAACUACAGAAACAGGUGCAUGACCAUGUCUGCUCACGAACAAGCGAAGCUAUGCUAUCUGAUGCUAAAUCUAGCAUAUUCGGCUAGAUCUGCUAGGGAUUUACUCGAAUAAUUAUCUAUUAUAUUUUAACUUCUUCUUCGCAAUUUGUAUUUGAUGAAUCAUGCUUUCUCAAAGUUUAACAUAAAUUUCGAUUUUGGACAUUUACUGAGAAACUGGAGCUAGGUGUUAUGAGCAUGAUUCUUCAAUGCAGAGAAUAAUUGGAGGACCAGUAAGAAAAUUUUCAUGAUUUUGCCAAGUGCGCCGCCAUGCUCCACCCACACUUGCAAGCCCUCCAAUUAGAUAGGCGUAUAACCACGAGUAUCAUCCAUUUACCCCAGGAUACGAGAGCUUUCUCUCAUGCAGUAUUGACUCGCAAUUUUCCAAGUGACAUCAUCUCUGUUUUGUUUUAUCUUAGAAGUUGGAAAUUUGAUAGCACCUAACCUCAUAGACAUGUGUUUGUUCACGUUUUUCUUAAAAUCAGACUAAUUGUAAGUCUACUUCUAUGGCUGAUGCAACUCAGCAUUAGUAUCUUCCAGAUCUCAUAUAUUCAUUGUCACUAGAUGAAUUCAGGUCUGAUGGGGUCUUCCCUUUGCACAUGUGUGCAUUUAGCUAAAUUGCCAUCUAAUUGUUGCCACUAAUCACAAAUGUAAGUGCAGUCUGAAAGUUGAAGGAUGACAUGUUCUCUAGGGUCGGCAAUAAUUAAAAAAUAUAGUGGUACCCAAGGUAAUACUUGAGAAUUGUUUGUGGAUGAUGUGAUUUCUACUUUCUUCUGAUGCCUUUUCCCUUUUUCAUCUGUACAGAUCUCAUGAUCUUUAGUGACCACAGUGUCAUGUAAACUACACAUACAGUUGUGGUACUUGAUUUGGAAACAUCAUAUAAAACAUACUACAACAAAAAGAAUCUUCUAUUUUCUAUCUUUCACAUAUUGAACGAUGCACUUCAAAAUUUUCAUUUCUGCUAUGCACACAUGUAGGCACUGGAGCAUAAUUCUAUCAUCUACCUAUGGAAGACGAUCCAACAUGGAUGCUCUAAAAAGUACCGCAUUUGAGGAUGAGAAAAUGGUGUAUAUGGUGUUGAAGGAAGCGUAGGAAGAAGCAUCUUGACAAAAGACAUGGCAAAGAUGAUGUCCAAGGGAAAAGCAGGGAAGUAAAACAUAAUUAGUUUAGAGUGGUUAAUGUGAAAGCAGUUUUAGUUUCAGCAAGAGGUGGAUUCUGAAGAUAACAACAGGUCAACAGCACAAGACUAUGAUAAGGCAUAACAUAGUUCUGAUGGGAAGGCAUAACAUAGUUGCUGGAAGAUAUAUUUGUACAAUAACAGGCACGCACAUGCAUGUGUAGUUAUACGGGAUUUAAAAAGAGUUAAUAUGAGAGAUUCAAUUCUGAUAGCUGAAAGAAAAUUACAGAACAAAUUUCUGUAAGGUAGCAGCCCAAUGAAUUGUACAAAUAUUGAUGCAUGCAGGUGAUGAUAUACACUAUCAUGUCAAACCCAG
rnacentral:rRNA from 1 species